rnacentral:rRNA from 1 species
UACGAAGGGGGCUAGCGUUGUUCGGAUUUACUGGGCGUAAAGCGCACGUAGGUGGACAGUUAAGUGAGAGGUGAAAUCCCAGGGCUCAACCCUGGAACUGCCUUUCAUACUGGCUGUCUCGAGUUCGGAAGAGGUGAGUGGAAUUCCAAGUGUAGAGGUGAAAUUCGUAGAUAUUUGGAAGAACACCAGUGGCGAAGGCGGCUCACUGGUCCGAUACUGACACUGAGGUGCGAAAGCGUGGGGAG